GUUUUACAAAAAUUACUAAGCAGAAGAUCCUACGACAUCAUCUACGCCCUCCCGCUCUGGUAUAUCAGUAUCAUGGACAUUUUCUGGUGUAGCCUCCGCCUCGCCACCACCUAGAUUCUCUACCUAGUCAUCUCCUGGGUAGUGCUUUUGGAGCUUAUUAACAAUGUCAUUCUGUGCCUCGUCAUAUAUCUCGGCAAUUUGAUCAUCAGUGGUAGCCAAUUCCUUCUCCAACCCCUUGACCUUCCAACUCAGCUCAUCCUGAACAGCCUUCUUGUUGCUCAACUCAACCUGUAAAAUCAAGUGCCCCUUCUGAGUAGUAGCAAGAUCACCUUCAAAGGUAGCUAAUUUUUCUUUGAA
rnacentral:misc_RNA from 1 species